rnacentral:rRNA from 1 species
AUUGAACGCUGGCGGCAUGCCUUACACAUGCAAGUCGAACGGUAACGCGGGGCAACCUGGCGACGAGUGGCGAACGGGUGAGUAAUAUAUCGGAACGUGCCCAGUCGUGGAGGAUAACGCAGCGAAAGCUGUGCUAAUACCGCAUACGAUCUAUGGAUGAAAGCGGGUGAUCGCAAGACCUCGCGCGAUUGGAGCGGCCGAUAUCAGAUUAGCUAGUUGGUGAGGUAAAGGCUCACCAAGGCGACGAUCUGUAGCUGGUCUGAGAGGACGACCAGCCACACUGGAACUGAGACACGGUCCAGACUCCUACGGGAGGCAGCAGUGGGGAAUUUUGGACAAUGGGCGAAAGCCUGAUCCAGCAAUGCCGCGUGCAGGAUGAAGGCCUUCGGGUUGUAAACUGCUUUUGUACGGAACGAAACGGUGAGCUCUAAUACAGUUUGCUAAUGACGGUACCGUAAGAAUAAGCACCGGCUAACUACGUGCCAGCCGCCGCAGUAACAC